GACGAACGCUGGCGGCGUGCUUAACACAUGCAAGUCGAACGGAAAGGCCCUGCUUUUGUGGGGUGCUCGAGUGGCGAACGGGUGAGUAACACGUGAGUAACCUGCCCUUGACUUUGGGAUAACUUCAGGAAACUGGGGCUAAUACCGGAUAGGAGCUCCUGCUGCAUGGUGGGGGUUGGAAAGUUUCGGCGGUUGGGGAUGGACUCGCGGCUUAUCAGCUUGUUGGUGGGGUAGUGGCUUACCAAGGCUUUGACGGGUAGCCGGCCUGAGAGGGUGACCGGCCACAUUGGGACUGAGGUACGGCCCAGACUCCUACGGGAGGCAGCAGUGGGGAAUAUUGCACAAUGGGCGGAAGCCUGAUGCAGCAACGCCGCGUGCGGGAUUACGGCCUUCGGGUUGUAAACCGCUUUCGCCUGUGACGAAGCGUGAGUGACGGUAAUGGGUAAAGAAGCACCGGCUAACUACGUG
rnacentral:rRNA from 1 species